GGAUCAAGUGAUGAGGAAACUGCAACAAUAUGAUGGGGGGUGGUUAUCCCUCCAUGAUUCCUAGUAUUUAAGUCUCUGAUGGUC
rfam:Musa acuminata subsp. malaccensis Doubled-haploid Pahang (DH-Pahang) genomic chromosome, chr2